AGUGAACGCUGGCGGUAGACCUAACACAUGCAAGUCGAACGGCAGCACAGUAAGAGCUUGCUCUUACGGGUGGCGAGUGGCGGACGGGUGAGGAAUACAUCGGAAUCUACUUUUUCGUGGGGGAUAACGUAGGGAGACUUACGCUAAUACCGCAUACGACCUACGGGUGAAAGCAGGGGAUCUUCGGACCUUGCGCGAUUGAAUGAGCCGAUGUCGGAUUAGCUAGUUGGCGGGGUAAAGGCCCACCAAGGCGACGAUCCGUAGCUGGUCUGAGAGGAUGAUCAGCCACACUGGAACUGAGACACGGUCCAGACUCCUACGGGAGGCAGCAGUGGGGAAUAUUGGACAAUGGGCGCAAGCCUGAUCCAGCCAUACCGCGUGGGUGAAGAAGGCCUUCGGGUUGUAAAGCCCUUUUGUUGGGAAAGAAAAGCAGCAGGUUAAUACCCCGCUGUUCUGACGGUACCCAAAGAAUAAGCACCGGCUAACUUCGUG
rnacentral:rRNA from 1 species